UUUCUCCAGAUAUAUUCUGAAGCCAAAGCUACACACUGUCAUCAUGAAGAUCUUUCCUGUUUUCCUGCUUGUGAUUUCAAUCUAUCUUGUUCAGAGCUUUGAAGAUGAUAAGGAAAAAUGCAGCGCCCGCUACCCGAGCAUGAAAGGAAAAUGUCCCAAGGAGCCGUGUGACAUGACGACAUGUGAUGAGGCUGGAGCCGUCUGCAAAAAUAAUUACUGCGGUGGAUGCAAUGCUAAGUGGUACACUAACGGGCAAAUCUCCGAGAAAUGUUCCAUGUUCUUUUUGGAGAAAAAUCAGUAGAAAGGAAAAGAGGUACACGCAUUAACCCUGCUUUAUGGUCUGUGAAGGUGAAGCUCUUUGAGAAGGAAUUUCAUUAAAAAGAAAACAUGCA